rnacentral:rRNA from 1 species
AAGUGCGAAACUAGCCACGAGAUGAGACUUCCUCACAAGGGUCGUCGGAGAUUACGACGUCGAUAGGCCACAGGUGUAAAGGUUGAGAGACCAAAGCCGAGUGGUACUAAUAGCCCGAAGCUUUCCA